ACAAUUUUUGACUCUUCGUUUUAUUAAAAAAAAUUUGCGAUUGAUAUUUUUGUUUUUAUUAGAUGAUAAAUCAUGAAUAGUACUUUACGUGUGACUAAUUUUUUUUCUAAUUUCUUAAAAAAAUUAAAUAAGGCGGAUGAUCAAACGCUGGCACUGAAACCGAAG
rnacentral:pre_miRNA from 1 species